rnacentral:rRNA from 1 species
AUGGCAUUCCUCACCGCCAAGCGUUCGUCCGCCGCGCUCCUCCUGCUCGGCCUGUCCGUGUCCCUGGCGGCGUGCGGCGUCGCCGCCCACGACAUCGCCGCCAUCCUCGCCGCACGCCCGGACCUCCGCGAGUUCAGCGGUCGCCUGGCCUCCACGGGCCUGGCGUACGACAUCGACCAGCGCAACGCCUCCCUCACGGUCCUCGCCGUCGACAACGCCGGCAUGGCCCUGCUCAAGGCGCGCCGCCUGCCGCGCGCGACGGUCCGGCGCCACCUCUCGCUCCACGUCCUCCUCGACUACUACGACCAGGCCAGGCUGCAGAGCCUCCCGCGCGGCAGCUCCGAGGUCGUGUCCACCCUGCUCCCGGCAUCCUCCCGCCCCGGGGCCGGGGCCAGCGGCAAGGUGAGGAUCGUCGCGCCCGGGCCCGGGCUCGGCGCCGGCGAACCGGUGGCGUUCCUGCCCAUGGGCCUCGGCCCCGGCUACUGGCGCGUCGCCCUCUUCGUCAGGUCCGUCUACGAAGCUCCCGCCGACAUAUCGGUGCUGCAGGUCUCCGCCGUGAUGUCGGGCGGAGGCCGGCAAGAAGCUACUGAUUGA